AUGUUAAAUUAGGUUGUAUUUGUAGGUAAAAUAUGAGGGACUUCUGUUGGAGAAAUAUGGGGAGGAAAGUAGCCAACACCGAGAACUUGACAAAGAAUUGUGGUACCGAGCUGCCGGGGGAAAGAAGAGAGGUAAAGUAUAUGGGUUAAGCAAUCUUAAGAAUGAUUUUAACGUUCAACAUCAUGGCAAACAAGACCAAGAGAUCGAAAGGUUGAACGUGAUUAUUGCGGGAUUGGUGGUGGAAAAAGAGAAAGAUAAGGCGGAGAAAGAGGCUAUGAAUGAAAGGAUGGCAAACAUUGAAGCGAUGCUAAAAUCUAGGUUUCAAAACGUAUAAUCAUCGACUUAGGUUUCAAAACGUAUAAUCAUCGACUUAGGUUUCAAAACGUAUAAACACUUUGUUUUGAAUAUGUAUUUUGUUAUGAUAACUUUGGUAUUUGAUGUUUCAAGUGGGAUGUUUUAUAUAAUUGUGAAAAUUUGAUAAUAUGUAAAAUUUAAAAUUGA